AUUGAACGCUGGCGGCAUGCCUUACACAUGCAAGUCGAACGGUAACAGGUCUUCGGAUGCUGACGAGUGGCGAACGGGUGAGUGAUACAUCGGAACGUGCCUAGUAGUGGGGGAUAACUACUCGAAAGAGUGACUAAUACCGCAUGAGAUCUACGGAUGAAAGAAGGGGAUCGCAAGACCUUGUGCUACUAGAGCGGCCGAUGGCAGAUUAGGUAGUUGGUGGGAUAAAAGCUUACCAAGCCGACGAUCUGUAGCUGGUCUGAGAGGACGAUCAGCCACACUGGGACUGAGACACGGCCCAGACUCCUACGGGAGGCAGCAGUGGGGAAUUUUGGACAAUGGGCGCAAGCCUGAUCCAGCAAUGCCGCGUGCAGGAUGAAGGCCUUCGGGUUGUAAACUGCUUUUGUACGGAACGAAAAGCCCUGGGUUAAUACCCUGGGGUCAUGACGGUACCGUAAGAAUAAGCACCGGCUAACUACGUGCCAGCCGCCGCAGUAAGAC
rnacentral:rRNA from 1 species